GCCCGAGUAGCUCAGCGGAUAGAGCGUCUGCCUCCGGAGCAGAAGGUCGCAGGUUCGAGUCCUGUCUCGGGCA
rnacentral:tRNA from 1 species